rnacentral:rRNA from 1 species
ACCCGCUGAACUUAAGCAUAUCAAUAAGCGGAGGAAAAGAAACCAACAGGGAUUGCCUUAGUAACGGCGAGUGAAGCGGCAAAAGCUCAGAUUUGAAAUCUGGCGUCUUCGACGUCCGAGUUGUAAUCUGUAGAGAAGUAUUCGAGUGUGGAUAUGGCUUAAGUUCCUUGGAACAGGACGUCAAAGAGGGUGAGAACCCCGUAUACGGCCUCUGUCUUAUGCUCAUGUGAAUCUUCUUCAACGAGUCGAGUUGUUUGGGAAUGCAGCUCUAAAUGGGUGGUAAACUCCAUCUAAAGCUAAAUACUGGCAAGAGACCGAUAGCGCACAAGUAGAGUGAUCGAAAGAUGAAAAGAACUCUGAACAGAGAGUCAAACAGUACGUGAAAUUGUUGAAAGGGAAGCACUUGCUACCAGACUCGCCUAUAGUUGAUCAACCACUGUCACAAGCAGCGGUGCACUCGGCUGUGGGCGGGCCAGCACCAGUUGUGUUGGUGGGAUAAAGACAGCAGGCAUGUAGCUCCUUUUGGAGUGUUAUAGCCUGUUGUGUAAUACCAUCAAACACGACUGAGGACCGCGCUCGUUUUUCGAGUGAGGGUGCUGGCAUAAUGGCUGU